AAUUAACGUUAGCGGCGUGCCUGAUGCAUGCAAGUCGAACGGUCUGAUAGUUCGUAAGGAUUGUCAGAUAGUGGCGAACGGCUGAGUAACGCGUAAGUAACCUGCCUCUAAGUGGGGAAUAACUUGCCGAAAGGCAAGCUAAUACCGCAUAUGCUGGUAAAUUGAUGGUUUAUCAGUAAAGCCGUAAGGCGCUUGGAGAGGGGCUUGCGUCUGAUUAGCUUGUUGGUGGGGUAAUGGCCUACCAAGGCGAUGAUCAGUAGCUGGUCUGAGAGGACAACCAGCCAGACGGGGACUGAGAUACGGCCCUGACUCCUACGGGAGGCAGCAGCAAGGAAUUUUGCGCAAUGGGCGAAAGCCUGACGCAGCGACGCCGCGUGGGGGAUGAAGGCCUUCGGGGUGUAAACCCCUUUUCCCGGGGAAGAAUAAUGACGGUACUCGGGGAAUAAGUCUUGGCUAACUACGUGCCAGCAGCCGCGGUAAUACGUAGGAGGCAAACGUUAUUCGGAUUUACUGGGCGUAAAGCGGGUGUAGACGGCUCCUUAAGUCGGGUGUGAAAUCUCCUAACUCAAUUAGGAGGGGUCAUUCGAUACUGGGGAGCUUGAGGGCAGAAGAGGAAGGUGGAAUUCCCGGUGUAGCGGUGAUAUGCGUAGAUAUCGGGAGGAACACCAGUGGCGAAGGCGACCUUCUGGGAUGUACCUAACGUUGAGACCCGAAAGCGUGGGGAGCGAAACGGAUUAGAUACCCGUGUAGUCCACGCCCUAAACAUUGGACACUAGGUAUGGGGGGUAUCGACCCUCUCCGUGCCGAAGUUAACGCUUUAAGUGUCCCGCCUGGGGACUACGGCCGCAAGGCUA
rnacentral:rRNA from 1 species